rnacentral:rRNA from 1 species
AUUGAACGCUGGCGGCAGGCCUAACACGUGCAAGUCGAACGGUAACAGGAAGAAGCUUGCUUCUUUGCUGACGAGUGGCGGACGGGUGAGUAAUGUCUGGGAAACUGCCUGAUGGAGGGGGAUAACUACUGGAAACGGUAGCUAAUACCGCAUAACGUCGCAAGACCAAAGAGGGGGACCUUCGGGCCUCUUGCCAUCGGAUGUGCCCAGAUGGGAUUAGCUAGUAGGUGGGGUAACGGCUCACCUAGGCGACGAUCCCUAGCUGGUCUGAGAGGAUGACCAGCCACACUGGAACUGAGACACGGUCCAGACUCCUACGGGAGGCAGCAGUGGGGAAUAUUGCACAAAGGGCGCAAGCCUGAUGCAGCCAUGCCGCGUGUAUGAAGAAGGCCUUCGGGUUGUAAAGUACUUUCAGCGGGGAGGAAGGGAGUAAAGUUAAUACCUUUGCUCAUUGACGUUACCCGCAGAAGAAGCACCGGCUAACUCCGUG